GCGACUUAUUGUGCAUGUGUGGGUAGCUUAAAGCAAAUAUAUAUUUUCAAAUUAAUUUAAUAUACUUGAUAUUCUUCCCUCCUCCCUUCUUACCUUUGCCAAGGGAGGGGGGACAUGUCCUGUAAUCCCUGGCGGUCUUAGUCGUGAGUGAACUCUAGCUUGUAGCUUGUGAGGUUAGAGUUCAUUCUCGUGAGAUCCAGA